ACGCGGGCGGCGUGCUUAACCAUGCAAGUCGACCGAUGAAGCGCUGUCUUUUGGGCGGUGUGGAUUAGUGCGAACGGGUGAGUAAUACGCGGCCAACCUGCCCCUCUGCUUCGGGAUAAGCUUGGAAACGGGGUCUAAUACCGGAUGUGCCUGUCUGGUCGCAUGGCUGGGCGGGGAAAGAUGUUUUUCGGCGGGGGAUGGGCUCGCGGCCUAUCAGCUUGCUGGUGGGGUGACGGCCUACCAAGGCGUCGACGGGUAGCCGGCCUGAGAGGGUGGUCGGCCACACUGGGACUGAGAUACGGCCCAGACUCCUACGGGAGGCAGCAGUGGGGGAUAUUGCACAAUGGGCGCAAGCCUGAUGCAGCGACGCCGCGUGGGGGAUGGAGGCUUUCGGGUUGUAAACCCCUUUCGGCGCGGGACAAGGCUCCGUUUGGCGGGGUUGAGG
rnacentral:rRNA from 1 species